rnacentral:ncRNA from 1 species
CUGUUCAACUAUAGCUAAACUUACACAUGCAAGUAUCCGCAAACCUGUGAGGAUGCCCUUUCCUCCUGAAUGGAGACGAGGAGCAGGUAUCAGGCACGAGUCAUUUCAGCCCACGACGCCUUGCUCAGCCACACCCCCAAGGGACUUCAGCAGUGACAAAUAUUAAGCAAUGAGUGAAAACUUGACCUAGUUAGUGCUUACAGGGUUGGUAAAUCUCGUGCCAGCCACCGCGGUUAUACGAGGGACCCAAGUUGACAGCUGCCGGCGUAAAGAGUGGUUAAGAUACAUCUAAACUAAAGUCGAACAACUUCAAAGCUGUUAUACGCUUACGAAAAAACGAAGCCCAACAACGAAAGUGACUUUAACCUCGCUGAUUCCACGAAAGCUAGGAAACAAACUGGGAUUAGAUACCCCACUAUGCCUAGCCCUAAACAAAGAUAGCCCACCACUUACGCUAUCCGCCCGGGUACUACGAGCACCAGCUUAAAACCCAAAGGACUUGGCGGUGCUUUAGAUCCAUCUAGAGGAGCCUGUUCUAGAACCGAUAAUCCCCGUUAAACCUCACCCUUCCUUGCCUUAUCCGCCUAUAUACCGCCGUCGUCAGCUCGCCCUUUGAGGGUCAAAUAAUGAGCUAAACUGGUACUGCCCUAGACGCCAGGUCGAGGUGUAGCGAAUGGAGGGGGAAGAAAUGGGCUACAUUCAAUAUACUACAAUGAAUACGGAUGGCGGAUUGAAACAUCUGCCUAAAGGAGGAUUUAGCAGUAAGCAAGAAAUAGAGUGUCUUGCUGAAUUUGGCCCUGAAGCGCGCACACACCGCCCGUCACUCUCCCCGACUCCAUCGACACCUAAAUAACUAAUAAGACAAGAUCUUGUAAGGGGAGGC